GACGAACGCUGGCGGCGUGCUUAACACAUGCAAGUCGAACGGUAAGGCCCUUCGGGGUACACGAGUGGCGAACGGGUGAGUAACACGUGGGUGAUCUGCCCUGCACUUCGGGAUAAGCCUGGGAAACUGGGUCUAAUACCGGAUAGGACCAUGGACUUCACGGUUUGUGGUGGAAAGCUUUUGCGGUGUGGGAUGGGCCCGCGGCCUAUCAGCUUGUUGGUGGGGUAAUGGCCUACCAAGGCGACGACGGGUAGCCGGCCUGAGAGGGUGUCCGGCCACACUGGGACUGAGAUACGGCCCAGACUCCUACGGGAGGCAGCAGUGGGGAAUAUUGCACAAUGGGCGCAAGCCUGAUGCAGCGACGCCGCGUGAGGGAUGACGGCCUUCGGUUGUAACCGUACUUCUAAUAGGACGAAGCGC
rnacentral:rRNA from 1 species